rnacentral:tRNA from 1 species
GGUAGAGCUCAUCGGUAGAGCAUGUGCUUAGCAUGUACAAAGCCCUGGGUUCCAUCCCCAGCACCA